AUGAUAUUGUAUUUUAUUUCAACCGACAUUUCGGAUGGAAUAUUUUGUUCUCAACAAUGAUUGCCGUUCAGUAUUUUCUGGGAUUUGUUUCUGAAUUGUUCUCCACUCAAUCUUCUCAUCUACAUGAAGAAAUAUUCCGUUAUAUUGCUCAAAUCUAUACUAUGGCGCAAGGAAUUAUGCUACCCAUAAAAUGUCAACAUAUCAUACACCAAAGAACUAUAAUGAAUAUUUUAUUGAAGAAAGUAUUUUAUAGAUACUCAAAGUAUCCAGUUCUAAUUAACAAACUCAAUACUUUGAUGCGACAAACUGCAUCAAACAUUAGAUUUACAGCAGCAGGUUUUUUCGACUUGAAUUAUGCCAUGUUGUUCACGUUUCUUAAUAUAAUAAUAACUUAUUUAAUUGUUAUAAUACAAUUUAAUAAAAUGUAAUAUUUAUAUACUAUAAAACAGCUAUAUAUGUAUACCGUUAUAUAGUUUGUCAAAAGAAUUUUGUUAAAUUAUACUUUGGUAUAUGACGGA